rnacentral:rRNA from 1 species
UGGGGAAUAUUGGCACAAUUGGGCGAAAGGCCUGAAUGCGGCGACGCCGCGUGAGGGCAUGACGGCCUUCGGGCUUGUAAAACCUCUUUCAGCAGGGAAGAAGCGAAAGUGACGGUACCUGCAGAAGAAGCGCCGGCUAACUACGUGCCAGCAGCCGCGGUAAUACGUAGGGCGCAAGCGUUGUCCGGAAUUAUUGGGCGUAAAGAGCUCGUAGGCGGUUAGUCGCGUCUGCUGUGAAAAUCUCGAGGCUCAACCUCGGGCUUGCAGUGGGUACGGGCUGACUAGAGUGCGGUAGGGGUGACUGGAAUUCCUGGUGUAGCGGUGGAAUGCGCAGAUAUCAGGAGGAACACCGAUGGCGAAGGCAGGUCACUGGGCCGCAACUGACGCUGAGGAGCGAAAGCAUGGGGAGCGAACAGGAUUAGAUACCCUGGUAGUCCAUGCCGUAAACGUUGGGCACUAGGUGUGGGGUCCAUUU